AAUAACUUCCGAAGGUUUUCAAGCCAUUGAAAUGAGUGAACCCUACAAGGAAUUGAGCUGCCAACAGAAAAACCCAUAUGAGAAAACCCAUCUUAGGUGAGCCCCUGUUUAGUAGUUAUCUAAUAGCCCCAUAGAUUAAAUGAGGCCUUUCUUUCCUGUCUGACUCACAUCUAUUACAUAAUUACUUUCUUUCUAGCAAGUGAAAGAAACAAGAAGGAAGAGCUAUAUAAAGAUCACAAUUAAUGAUGACAGGCAGUUUUCCACCAGAUGAAGUCUGUAUUGUGAGUUGCAUAAUCAGUACCUCAGCAACCUUAGUUCUCUCUGCAGAAGUCAUAGCUUGGCAGAGUGGGAGACAGGACUUCUAUUACUUAUUUUUUUUUCUUUUUAUAAAGAUUAUAUAGAUGCAUUUAAAAAAAUGAAGAAAUAUUAAUCAGCAACUAAAAGAAGAUAUCAACAUGCAUGACCUCACAAGGAGCAUACGUUCCUUCUCCCAGUUUUUCCAUUGAGCUCAGGGCUACCUCAAUAGGAGACUAUAUCCCAGACUUCAUUGAAGCUAAGAGUGACCAAGCCAUUGAAUUCCAAUGAACUACGUUAAAUGGAAGAGAAGUACCGUAUUCUCUCCUCUGUCCUCCUUUUUUCCUGCACUGUAUCUACAAAGAUACAAUGCUUGGAAAGGACAGAGGGAAUAACUUACCCAGGAGUCCUAUAACUGUGACACGCAAUUUAGCUGUGGACUAUUUACUUCUAUAUGCUCAUGGGAGAAGCUUUAGCUUUCUAAAGCUUCUAUUCUCAUGCUCCUUGGUACUUGCAGCUAAUCCUAAACCCUGACACUUGCAGCAAGUACCUAAACCCUGACACUUAUCUAUCUAUUCCUAAAAAUUCUUGUAUUUUUAUUACCUAUCUUUUGAGUUUUUAAGUAUUCACAAUUAUUUUAAGUAUUCAUCUCUUUCAAUUUUUGUUUUUAGUUUGUUUAUUUUACAUUCGGAGCUCAUCUAGCAUAUGGGAGGCUUCCUUAUUUUAAUUAAUUUAAAUAUAGUUUUAUUCUUUUGAAUUGGAGUUUUAAGUAGGUGUCAGAAGGAGGAUGUUUUUCCUUUUUAUUGUCAAAACUUUCAGCAAAAUCAAACACUAUAGAGAAAGCCAGGCAAUAACUUACUUGUAUGAAUAAAAUGGGUGAAAACCAAGAAAACAGAGGCAUUUUCCUAAUUGGGACCCACCGUGCAUGUCCAACAAGCAGUUGGCAUUGAGAGAAUGAGGACUCAAUAUUUACAAUCAAGGAGGAAAACAGCCUUUUAAUAAGAACUCUGUUAUUUUUAAAGGACGGUGGCAAGGAAUUAUGGAAGAAUUAUCCCUACUCAGGAGAGUAAACUUAUCUGAAGGGCAUAUUCAUAGUGAAGGAACUAUAAAAUGGAAGUUUUUCAUCUUGAAGGCUGAUUACAGUUAAAACCAGACUUUGGAAAAAAUAUAUAAAUUUAAAAAUAAAUAUAAAUAAAUAAAAUCAGGCUUUGGAUAUUAAAAUGUCUCAAAGAGUUGUGGCAGCUCUGGUUAGACUGGGGUUGGAACUUGAAUUUUUGUUUAUUGUUGUGGUAGGCGGAAUAAUUGCACCCAAAGAUAUCUAUAUCUUAAUCCCAGGUUUUAGUCUUUAUUUAAAAGAUGGUAAAAAAUACCCUAUGGGACUAGCCUGAUAUGAAAUAUAAAUGUACACAUUCACUUUAUUUGCUAUAUGAAUUUUCUACCUUUUUUUAAGGUAUGAACAAAAAAUUCACAUUUAUCUGAAAACAAAAUCAACUGGAAAACUACAAGAAUAUGCUUUUGCAUUUUAUUUCCUAAUUCAUAUUUAUUGUAUCAGAUUGGAAUUAAACAAAACAAAACAAACAAAUAAAAAACACCAUUUUCUCAUCGCAGAGUUUAAAAGCACUACCAUAGGCCAGAAGUUUUCAAAGUGUGGUCAGGGACCAGGAACCAGGAACAUCAGUUUCCCUUUGGAACUUACCUGCAGUGCAACCUCUCUGACCCAACCCCGGGACUAUGGAAUCAGCCACUCAGGGGUGGGGCCCAGCAAUGUGGGAUUUAACAAGACUCAGGUGAUUCUGAUGUUUGCAAAGUUGAGGAACCACUGCUUUAGGACAUGCUACUUUGUUAACACACAUCUCAUAACAUGUGUCAGGCACUACUCUAAGCAUUCUGCAUGCAUACAAUAAUCCAAAGAUACUUUUAUUAUCUGUUUUACAGAUGAGGCAAUGGAGGUCCAGAGAAUUUAAAUGGCUAACCUGAGGUCACACAGCUAAUAUGUCCAUUACAGUAGUUCAACUGUCCAUGCUCUUAACCAUUACACCAGAAAGCCUAAGACUGAUCACGAAACUUGGGCCAUUCUGACAAUCCAGAAUAAUCUCCUAAUCGUGGCAUCCUUAAUUGAAUCACAUCUGCCAAGUUCCUUUUUCCGUGUAAGGUGCGGCCCUAAAAAGCAGAACAAAACAAAACAAAAAAAACAAUGGAGUUAAAGCUUUUGAGGCUAUGUGAGAUCACCAAGGGAGAAGAAAACGUAGAUUAAGAAAAGCUACAAGGACUGGAUCCUGAGACUCAAGUAUUAAAAAGUUGGAAAGAAGAUUAAGAAUCAGCAAAGAGCCUUGAUGGAGCAGCUCGUGAGAGUAAACCAUGGAAAGAGAGAUUAAAAAUGAAACCAGACAACCACUUGAUGAAAUAAUUACUCAACAAUGAAUUGGAAGCAAGACAUGAAAGGUGAUCCUGAAAAGAACUCUGACAAUAAGAGAUACUGUGGAUUACUUAGAGGUGUUUCCCCAGUGUCUCAUCUUUCAAGAGUUCAGUGCCUCAUUUUAUGACUCAAAGUUGCUGAUUC